AUUUAUCACCGUUUAGGUUAUGUAUGAAAUGAAUUUUUAGAUACUGCGAAUUACUUUAUUUUUUAUUCAAUCUAAACAAUAAUGUGGUCGUUUUUCUCACGAGACCCUUCCAAAGAUUUCCCUUAUGAAAUUGGUGAGGCAAUUGUUUCAUUACAGGAUAAAAGCAUAUGGUCCUUACAUAGGGCUAAAAAAAAGGGUACAACCGAAGAUGUAUCAGUGUUCGUUUUUGAUGUGCAUAAUAAUUCAGACACACAAUUUGAGAUUGCUAAAUCAUCAGUGAAACGUUUAAAAACUUUACGUCAUCCAAGUAUUUUAACGUAUUUGGAUAGUUUGGAAACGGAUAAAAUAUUGUAUGUGGCUACGGAAAGUGUGGAACCACUUUGUACACAUUUAUCGAAAUUAAAUUUUGAUGGUGCUCAAAAAGAUUUGUAUUUAGCAUGGGGUAUUUUUCAAAUUACUAGAGCGUUAUCAUUUUUAAAUAAUGAUUGCAAUCUACGACAUAACAAUGUGAAUAUAUGGUCAGUAUUUGUAAAUGCAUCCGGUGAAUGGAAAUUAAGUGGAUUAGAGUAUAUAUCGGGUGUACAAGAUUCGGCAAACACUACCGUAUUACCAAUUAAAAUUACACCUGCUUUGGCAUUAUAUGAUCCACCAGAGAAAAAUGAUCUUGCGAAACAACGACAGAUCACAAAAUGUUCAACGGAUAUGUGGGGCCUUGGUUGUUUAAUCUGGGAAUCUUUUAAUGGACCAUUACAACAACAAUCGUCAUUAAAAAUGCUAGAAAAUAUACCAAAACAAUUAGGAACAUUAUAUUGUGAAUUAGUAGGUGCUAAUCCUACAUCCCGACCAAAUCCAGCUGAUAUAAUAACACGUUGCCGUAAAUUAGGUGGUUAUUUUAAGAAUGAUUUAGUUGAUGCUUUGCUAUUUUUAGAAGAAAUACAAAUCAAAGACAAAAAUGAAAAAAAUCGUUUCUUUUCAAAUUUAACACCUCAAUUGGAUAAUUUUCCGGAUAAUGUAUGUAAACAUAAAAUAUUACCGCAGUUAAUCACUGCAUUUGAGUAUGGUGAUGCGGGUUCAGCGGUAUUAGCACCAAUGUUCAAACUUGGACGGUUGUUAGAUGAAGCUGAUUAUCAGAAAAAAAUCGUACCAUGUGUUGUAAAACUAUUUACAAGUAAUGAUCGUGCAACACGAUCACGAUUAUUACAACAAUUGGAACAUUUUAUUGGGCAUUUACAACCGAAUACCGUUAAUGAACAAAUAUUUCCACAAAUAGCACAUGGAUUUCUCGAUACAAAUGCAACAAUUCGUGAACAAACUGUUAAGUCAAUAAUACAUUUAGCACCAAAAUUAAAUUAUAAUAAUUUAAAUGUAGAAGUGUUACGUCAUUUUGCACGUUUACAAGCAAAAGAUGAUCAAGGUGGAAUUCGAACGAAUACAACAGUAUGCUUAGGAAAGAUAGCACAACAUCUUCAUCCACAAAUUAGGCAAAAAGUAUUAAUUUCAGCUUUUAUACGAGCCAUGCGUGAUCCAUUUCCACCUGCAAGAAACGCAGGCAUUUUGGCUUUAGCCGCUACACAACAGUAUUUCUUAUUAAAUGACGUUGCAACUCGUGUACUUCCAGCGUUAUGUCAUUUGACAUGUGAUCCAGAAAAAAUGGUACGCGAUUCUGUAUUUCGUACUAUCAAAGGGUUUCUAGGUAAACUUGAAAAAGUAUCAGAAGAUCCAAGUUUACGUGAAAGCAUGGAGGCUGAUGUAAAUACAGCUGCACCUAGUUUAAGUAAUGCGGCCGCUACAUGGGCUGGAUGGGCUGUAACAGCCGUUACAGCUAAGUUCUAUCGCAGUCAAUCAGAUACUGUUAAAUCAUCACUAAAUCCAUUAACCAGUAAGACGCUUAGUAAGCCAGGAUCGCUUGAACAACCAUCUAGUAGCAGUAUAUCCACAACAACUUCUAGUGUAACAUCAAUGACAUCUUUAGAACAAGAAGAAAGUAAGGGUAAUGAUUCUGUAUCAGAUUAUGAUGACCAUUGGGGUGAUAAUGAUAACUGGGGUGAUAUGGACACAAAUAGUGAAUCAAAAACAAACACUGUAACACCAAAUAAUCGACCAAUUACAAAUAAUACCGACGGUUGGGAUAAUGAAGAAUGGGGUAGUUUAGAAGAGGAACCAGUUGCUGAAUUAGCUUCACCUAGUGAAACAUGGAAUGCUAGUGAUUUUGCUCCAGUGCCAGAAGAUUCUAUGUCAAGAUCAGUGAGUGCCAGUGGUGAUUCACGAACAAAUGACACUCUACAUCGAAUUCCACAUAAACCGCAAACAAGUUGGGAAGAUUGUGAAUUUGAACCUUUAGAAUCAGCAGGAACCAAUAAAUUUGAAGAAGCAAGAAAGAAACGUGAAGAAAAGAAAUUAUUAAGACAAAAAGAGUUAGAAGCACGUCGAGCAAAUCGUGCAGCUGGGGGACCUAUGAAACUAGGUGCCAAAAAAAUGUAACCCAUUAUUUUAAAAUAGGUUACCUAUAUUAAACGGAUUGUUGGCACCAGGGCCGGAUUAACCAAUGGAGACUCCCUAGGCAAUGCAAUUAUCGUGGCCACUUUUCAGCCGUUUGAAGACCAUCAGGUCUUUUCAAGAUGAUGAAGAGAUGUUUAUCCAAUUGUAAUACCCGACUGAUAAUUUUACGAAAAUGAGGGUGAAUAUUAUUUGUUACAUCGCAUUAAUAUGCCGAUAAUUAGGUAACGUUUCAGAAAGUUUUGAAAAUACAGUUUUGAUGUUCUAUCGAAAAUAUUGUGUUUUAAAGAAAUUUUAUUCAGAGGUUUUGGCACUCAUUUCGUUAAAGUAAUUGAUAUUUACUUUACGGGUGGCUCGAAGUAUCCAAAAUAUAAUAGGAACGUAUUAUUUAAUAGGUUUUGUUUAUUUUUUGUGAGUCCGUCAGAAAAAAGUACUGAAGAUACCAAGAUGUGGUUUAAUUUUAAAUUACCUUUGAAUAGUUCGUUCAGUGAUAAUUGUAAGCUACCAUCCAUAGAUACGCCGUUAAUUGAUAGGACAAGACAGGUCAAAAUUCGUAUUUCAACAAUAUUUUAGAACGACCUACUUGCAAAUGCUUCUUUGUGCUUCACCAUUGCACAUAAAAAGCUUGUAGAAUAUAUUCUUUGAAAAGUGAAGAAAAUUUCGGAGCCAACUACUUGCAUUGCUGCCGUUGCCAAUACUCUUUGUUAUUAAAAACCAUUUCCAAUAAUUCAAUCAAUUUUCAAUUGUCUGCUGUUUAAAACUAUUUAAAAUGAUAUAGAAUAUUCUAAAUCAAUCUUUCUAUAAUGAUAUAAAACGACUUAAAUUUUAAAUCGUUUUAUUGUUUUAAACGGUAAUAUAUAGUUUUUUUCUGAAC